AGAAGACCUCACACAACUGUGA
rnacentral:snRNA from 1 species